rnacentral:rRNA from 1 species
AUUACCGCGGCUGCUGGCACGAAAGUUAGCCGUCCCUUCCUCUUCUGGUACUAUCAAUCAUGUUUGCUAUUAACAACCAUGCCUUACUCCCAGAUGACAGGAGUUUACAAUCCGAAGACCGUCAUCCUCCACGCGGCGUUGCACCAUCAGGGUUGCCCCCAUUGUGAAUUAUUCUCGACUGCUGCCACCCGUAGGUGUCUGGACCGUGUCUCAGUUCCAGUGUGCCUGAUCGUCCUCUCAGACCAGGUACCCGUCGUAGCCUUGGUGAGCCGUUACCUCACCAACAAGCUGAUAGGGCGCGAACCAAUCCUUCAGCGACAGCCUUGCGGCCACCUUUAAUCUUGCGAUACCAUGGGGUAUUAAUCCAAGUUUCCCUGGGCUAUUCCCCACUGAAGGGCAUGUAAUUCACGUGUUACUCACCCGUGCGCCACUAGACCAAUCGAGUAUUACUACCAAUUGAUCCNGUGCNACUUGCAUGUCUUAAACACGCCGCNNGCGUUCGUUCUGGCCAG